rnacentral:rRNA from 1 species
AGAUUGAACGCUGGCGGCAGGCCUAACACAUGCAAGUCGAGCGGUAGAGAGGUGCUUGCAUCUCUUGAGAGCGGCGGACGGGUGAGUAAUGCCUAGGAAUCUGCCUAGUGGUGGGGGAUAACGUUCGGAAACGGACGCUAAUACCGCAUACGUCCUACGGGAGAAAGCGGGGGACCUUCGGGCCUCGCGCCAUUAGAUGAGCCUAGGUCGGAUUAGCUAGUUGGUGAGGUAAUGGCUCACCAAGGCGACGAUCCGUAACUGGUCUGAGAGGAUGAUCAGUCACACUGGAACUGAGACACGGUCCAGACCUCCUACGGGAGGCAGCAGGUGGGGAAUAUUGGACAAGUGGGCGAAAGCCUGAUCCAGCCAUGCCGCGUGUGUAGAAGUAAGGU